ensembl:lncRNA
CCUGACUGCUCCUGCCAAACUGGGCGAGUGGGGCUGAGUGCGCCUGCUUCCUUGGUCAAAUUACCCGCUGAAUGCCGGGGUGGGAGCCCGCUCGGCAGGACACCCUGCCCUGCCCGCUUGAGCCCUUGGGCUCGAACACUCCUGGUUUUUAAUCCUGUCCACAGCCCGUCCUCUGUGAGUUGUUAUUUUUCCUUCCUCACCUCUGGACACUUCAGCACAUUCACUGGAAACAUCAUCACAGGCGAACUUGGCUUUGACAGAAACCUCUCUGAAAUGAUUUUUUCCCCCCUGUUCUGGCUUGCACUUGAAUAAUUCUCCAUCAACAGCACGUCUGAUUGAGUUGGCAUCACAAACCCUUUUGUAUGCUAUUUUUUUUUCUUCAAGAAAUAUUAAAGUCUGAAUAAAAUUGGAAUAGCUGCCUGGUAAUGAUCUCAUUAUAUAUAAAUACAGAAGUGCUCGCAGGGGAGAUAAUGACUCCAAGACUCAGGUAUGCAGUGAAUUCCUAUUAUCUUGCAAGGAGUCAGCCCACAGCUGCCCUCCUCCACCACUCCCCCACGCAUCCCGUUCAGUCUCAGGCUCAAGUCGCAGAGAACGAAUGGCUGAUUGAAGCUGGGAAUAGGUUUUUUUUUUUUUUUUCCUUUUCCCCUUCAUGACAUAUGUUAGGAGAUGAAAGGAACCUGGGCCGUGUGUUUACUCUUCAUUUGGGAGUUUCACAUGUUCUGAUUGAUAGGGAAGACAAAAAAGGCAGAAGGGGAAACAUUUGGUGCUGGCUGCAAACCAUAUCCAUUCUCAACGUGAGGUUGCCUCGUCUGUUUUCAGGAUGACUUCAGUAUUCAGGCUCCAUUGUUUGUGAUACCACAGAGAUAGGCACAAUGUCUGCCUAUAAGGCACCUGUAAUCCGCUGCUGC